rnacentral:tRNA from 1 species
GGUAGAAACAGAUAGAUGAAAACUCUAGGCUUUGGACCUAGAAUGUGUGAGUUUGAAUCUCAUUUCUACCA